GCGAGGCUGCACAAACUGGAGCUUUUGUUUCUGUUGAAGAUCAAUCCACUGCUCAGUUUCUUCUUCUUGCAGCUGGUUGAGUUCUUUCUAGACAGAGACAAGUGACAAGAAUCAGAGGUUUAAAAGCAACCACAUUCAUCUCUGCAGGUUUUGUAGUUUUAUAUAAGCAAGGAGCUUGUCCAGCAAACCUUCCCCACACUUCUUGUUCUUGGUCUCUUCAGCCACUUUCCUUCUUGUUCUCUGGAGAUCUUGCAGAAAAGAGCCUAUAGUGUUUCCCUUGCUCAGCCAUGCUCCUGGUGCUCAUCCCACUGCUGGGGAUACAUUUUGUCCUGAGAACUGCCAGAGCCCAGUCAGUGACCCAGCCUGACAUCCACAUCACUGUCUCUGAAGGAGCCUCACUGGAGUUGAGAUGUAACUAUUCCUAUGGGGCAACACCUUCUCUCUUCUGGUAUGUCCAGUCCCCCGGCCAAGGCCUCCAGCUGCUCCUGAAGUACUUUUCAGGAGACACUCUGGUUCAAGGCAUUAGAGGCUUUGAGGCUGAAUUUAAGAAGAGUCAAUAUUCCUUCAACCUGAGGAAACCCUCUGUGCAUUGGAGUGAUGCUGCUGAGUACUUCUGUGCUGUGGGUGCCACAGUGCCUGGGUCUGCAGGGGGAGCUGAACACAAACUGCCUAUGCUAGAGAAGUUUUCAGAGACUCAGUGUAUCUUGCUGUGACAUUUUCAAAGAUCUCUUGCUUUUAUGAUGGUGAGUGAGGCAAAGAGAGCUGAGCACAUCCAGGCAUUUCUAUAUAAUUCUGCAAUUCCUGCUGUGUCCCUAAAUUUUGUUUUAGAAGCUUUUUGUUAAUUGAAGAAACCGCGUAAUAGGAAAUAGUAUUCUAGAAUGAUGGAGGAGACAUACUUCUUAUCACCUAACAGUCAGGUUCUCAAGGACCUUUCCUUGACCGUGACUGGAUUAAGUGGUCGACUAUGGGAAUGUUGAUAUGGUCUAGGAGAACCUUGGUUUUCAUUUAUCAUUUAAUCUCUCAACUAACCCAGAAAACAAAGAUAAGCUUCUCAUGUUCUUACCUUGCAAGUUUGCAUUCUUGAGCUGGUCAUUCAUAGGAUAUUUUCUUAGAAUUUAUUUUUUCUGGCUCUAACUGUGCUAUUCAGGUUUCAGGAUAGCUUGUCUCAGUAACUCUAUUUAGGAAGAAUUAUGAGAAAUUAUUAGCCAACAGUGAAAGUUUCAUUAGAAUCAUGAAGGACUCAGAAAAUUGUCACAGUGAUAUGAGUUCUGGCAACUAGGAAUAGUGCACAAGGAGAAUGAAGAUUUAGAAUUUAUCAGUGUUUCUCCAAAGACUUUUUCACAGUUAUAAAAAUAGCUUCUAUUCUGUUGAUAUAUUAAUUAUGCAAAUCUACAUUGUAAGUUUUUCUAUGAAAUUCUGUUCAUCUCUUCUAGCUACUGACACUUUUACUUGUUGCUUUCACUCUGUUGUUAUAUGGUUUCACUAUUGAAAUAUUAAAGAUUGAUUCUUUUUUUUGAGAUAAGGUUUUACUGUUUUACGUAGGCUGGAGUGCAGUGGCAUGAUCAUAGCUCACUACAGCCUUGACUCACGCCCCCAGCCUCAAGAAAUUCUCCCACCUCAG